GACGAACGCUGGCGGCGUGCUUAACACAUGCAAGUCGAACGGAAAGGCCCUGCUUUUGUGGGGUGCUCGAGUGGCGAACGGGCGAGUAACACGUGAGUAACCUGCCCUUGACUUUGGGAUAACUUCAGGAAACUGGGGCUAAUACCGGAUAGGAGCUCCUGCUGCAUGGUGGGGGUUGGAAAGUUUCGGCGGUUGGGGAUGGACUCGCGGCUUAUCAGCUUGUUGGUGGGGUAGUGGCUUACCAAGGCUUUGACGGGUAGCCGGCCUGAGAGGGUGACCGGCCACAUUGGGACUGAGAUACGGCCCAGACUCCUACGGGAGGCAGCAGUGGGGAAUAUUGCACAAUGGGCGGAAGCCUGAUGCAGCAACGCCGCGUGCGGGAUGACGGCCUUCGGGUUGUAAACCGCUUUCGCCUGUGACGAAGCGUUAGUGACGGUAAUGGGUAAAGAAGCACCGGCUAACUACGUG
rnacentral:rRNA from 1 species